AAGAAAAUGCUUUUCAAAGUCUUCUUGGUAAACAGAAGAGCCUAAAUCCAUAAGCAUCUUUAUAAUGUUCCUCAUCAAACCCCUGUUUAUAACUUCACCACUCCUUUCCAUAUGCACAAGUUCAAGAAGAGUAUCUCGGAGUCUGGUCUGGGUUUUGCUAGAGUGGAUAACAACAUCCCUCCAUAGAUUCAAACCAAGCUCAUGGACUGGAGUUUUGUGAGUGCUUGGGAUGAAAGUUCUAUCCAUGUACAUCAAUAUGUCUCGGAUCAUUUGCAAAGCCUUGUUGUGGUCUGCCCAUUUCCUGUUCAAUUCUACCAAAAAAAGUUCUCCUUGAGCUGCUUCAAUUCCUUUAG
rnacentral:misc_RNA from 1 species